rnacentral:lncRNA from 1 species
UUUCCCCCUCGUGGAAGUGGGUCAGUCCCCCCAGUCCCCCGCAGGAUGUGCGCGAUUCCUUCCAAGCUGCUACCGGCUCACCUUUGAUCUUGCCUUUUCGCCACCGCCUGCGACUGCGGUUCUUCGAUCCUUCUUUGGCCUGCUUGGCGGCCUGGGCCCCCACGGGCGCGGGUUCCACCGCCGGCUCCAUCAAUUCUUUCCAGUCCUGGCGCGGGGCCCAAUUCCAGCGAGCAAGUCCCUCUCUUAGAGUCAAUCCUAGUUACACACCACUGCCAGGCCCCCAAACCAUCCAAUCCUGGGCAGGCUCCUCGCGGAGCUCCGCCUCUAAUGGGUGGGGCUGAAGGUCUCGGCCUGCCCAUUCGCUCAGAUUAAAGGAACCGCGCAGUGCACCGCAACGACAGACAAAAAACAAAAGCAAAAAAAAAAAAAAAAAAAAAACCCGCGCAAUCCUGGAGGCGGCGAAAAGUGUCCUCACAGCAGGAAUAGCGAGGAGUCGCGUUAGAGUCACCCCAACAAAGAAUUCUCAGUCAUCUCGUGCAGAAUCAAAGGGAUGCCGGGCAGGGAAAGGGGAGGACAGCAACACCGCUGGCCUCCGGGUUGACCUACAGAAAGGAGCGACUGGGCUCUGUGGCUGUUACCUGCCAUUGCUUCGGAGAGGGAGAGGUGACAAGGAAGAACCCCCACAGCUCACCAGCACAUCACUACGUCACCACGCUGUUUCCAUCCAGCCUGGAUCUUGCCACAGACUUCUGCAGCCCUAUCCAGGUCCCGCUCCCAAGCUUCUCUACCCCAUGAAACCGAGUCAUUCCACGGCGCUGAGGCCCUGUAGAGGCAUCGGGCGGCAGAGGCGAGACCUUCUCGAAGGCUGUGAAUGUCUCGGAUGUUCGGCUCGUUUACACACACUUGCCAAGUGAGGCAGAUGUGCAAUCAAGGGAUGAAAUAUACUUCAUAAACCUAGAGGUACAAAUGCAGUCAACGUUCUAAGGUUGUGGAGGUUCACUGGGGACUGAAAUGGUGAUUAGCAUGUGCAAAGUCAGUAUUGUGAGGAGUAUCCUGCCCAAGCAGGCUGAUCCAUCUUUGCACUGGCGUGCCCACUAGCAGCAACUUGUCUGGUGUCUGGGUAUCCUUUGGGUCCUGUGUACUCCGUUUGUACUAUCUCAAAACUCAGACGUUGGCUGCUAAAAAAUGUCUUCCCAGGUUUAGGCAUUUGAGAUUGUCAGCCCUGUUGGUCUCUGUCUCAUGUUGGAGGCGGACGGCUCUGAAAACUCGUAAAUCUUUUCUCGAAAGCAGUAAAUAUAUCAUGCAGAGCAAUGCGUCAACCCCAAAUGUUUGCGUUAUUGCUCCCUUAAACUAUACAAGAAAUGCUUUGACACUCAUUGUGUGGAGAUAGAGCCCAUGUCUCCAGUCUCUUCUGGUUCCCCCAAUUCCAUGAUCCUAUUGGGAACACAGGAAGAUGAAGUAAAUCAGAGAAAACUGUGAGAGGAUUAGGAUGUGUGCCCAACCGCCUGAGGCACAGGAAGUCCUGGGGUACAGUGAUCCUUUGAGGGCUCAGUGAUACUGGAAAAUAUUAGAGUUGUCACCAUUUUGAUGAUGUUGCUAGCCAGGUUAAUGGCCAGGUCACAUGGUCACCUCUAUCUUAAUGAAAGCGUCAGUCAAGAUGGCAAGAAAGC